rnacentral:lncRNA from 1 species
GGAGCGCGGUUCCUCGGGGCGGAGCGGGAAGCGGCAGCCGGCGGGGCCCCCCGGAGCUGCCCCAGCGCCGAGCAACGGGGCCCGGAGCCGGGUUCUGCCCGUCGGCAUUAUCAAAGUGAGUGCGUAAGCUUAACCUGUGGUGAGCAUACAGCGUGCAACCCGAAAGUGAAACCAGAACUGAGAUUUCACCCGUAACAUCCAGCAGCAAAACACCCUAAGUGGGGCUCCGGUUGUAGGUGCUGUGGUGCCUCAGUGCCCAGGGAUGCCUUUGUCUUCAUCUUCACUUUCUUCCUUCAAGGAUCGAAUGAGCAACUCGCAUUCUUGGAGGUAAAGUCCAAGUUCUAAUUCCUGCCUCACCUGCUGAUCAUCAGGUGGACUGCUGAGGCUCGAGCUCAGGAGCAACCCGUAUUGAAAAGUCUGCAUCCAAAAGGAUGGCCGCUCUUGCCUCUGGUUCUAAAAACUGUACGUAAUGACUCAGCUCUCACUAGAGCCAUAGUGCUGCAUCCAGUUUCCCUGCUGGUGGAAGCUCCAGUAGAACCUUCUCAUCCCCAGAGAAGCACAUGAGAGAAGUCCUAGCUGUCCUAGGAACUCCUUGCUGUAAUGAACUGCAUCCCCAAAGCCUCCCGCAUGCAAGCACCUCUGCAGCACUGAAGCGGUGAAUGAUGGCAUCAGAAGGCAAUAUGGAGAACGCAGUGGCCAGUUUCGUGUGGGACACACCUGAGCAACUGGGAGCUGAUGCUCCACCAAAACUCAAGAUGGAACUCAGCAAGAUCCAGCCCACAGGGGGUACAAGCACAGCACGACGGAGCUGUCACUAGCAGCACUUGUCAGCCUGCUGUACAGCUAUUACGGGCAGCCCUGCUACGUGGAGGGAACAGCAGACAUGCAGUGGUGUUGGUGCAUCAGGCUCAUGACCUCCUAGGGGGCAAUGUUCGGUGAGUAGAGCAGUGCCUUCCUGUUCCAAGAAGUCUAGAUGGCUGGGACUGUGAAGGAGCUCCAAGGAGGCUUUCCAAGUUCUAAGGAGCACACCAUUUUGCAGAGCACCCAAGAGAGAACAUGGGAGCGCUACAAACUGAUGGCAAAGUGGGACAUCACAGCCAACUGCUGCCUGUGUAAGGAGCUGACAAGAAACAAUCCCUCCCUCUCCAUCUGAUAGGCAGUUGGAAGAGACUUUUAGAUGUCGUCCAGUCCACCUCCCCUGCAGUGAACAGGAUCAUCUACAGCUGGAUCAGGUUGACCCGGGCCUGAUCUUAGAGAUCUUCUAUGUUACAGACUCUGUGAUUGGUACAACUCUAAGACUCACGCUCCCCUCUGUGUCUCUCCAGAGGUGUGAACUCAAGAGACAGCCGCACUCAAGGGAAAUCCUGUCAAUGAACCUGCUGCCGUGCAGGAGAGCUCGAGGGGCAGUUGGGCUGUCUGGCAUCUUUGAGGCCAAGACGCGUUUGUGACCAUUAAUCUGCUUUCACUAGAACACCAUCAAUACUGUUGCUCACUGUCUUUGUGGGCUAGGCCUAAUGUCCAAGGCCAGGACAAAGGAGGACAUUCAAAGGAAGAAAGCAAGUGUGGAGAGCAUGCUGGCUGUGCUGGGAAGAAAAUCUAGUAAGACCAGUGUUCCCAGUCAGAGUGCCAGGUGGCUUUUACCCCCAGGCAAUGCCCUGAAAAGGACUAGGGAGGGCUGGACUUGGACAGAAACAGCUACACCCCCUCACACCUCCCCUGCCCUUUCUUGCCUCAGCACGCUCCCAUGAGUCUUCUGCCUUUCACCAGCGAUCAUCUGAUCCAGACCUACAGGAAGGCUUCCACUUGCAAAUAGAUGAACUACACUAACUUGUAACAGCAGAUUGAGUAAAGAGUCACAUACCUG